UUAAAGUCAAGUCAAGAGCAGCAACUUCGGGAGUAAGGCAGGGCAUCUCCUGAGUCGAGAGGCACAGGGCCUUCACAAAUUGGCGCCUCGUUCAGUCGCCCCCACUGCGCAUGCGCGCAACAAUGUUUACCCAUGUUGCUAGGCGACGAGCUCGCCUCCCGGAUGGAUCAGCAACCGGAGCUUUGGGGUAUGAAGCAGAGGGAGACUCAGUCGCAAGCUCUACAUGCUGGUGUUGGCUUCCCAAGGCCGGUGGCUUGGCCGUGAGGAAGACGUUCAGUUUCGGGAGUCAGAUGUUUAGCUCUUUCCCCGACUGCGGUUGAUCUCCCGGAAGGGGGCGUCAGGGCGCUCGCAGCCUCCCCGGGCCGGAUUCCUUUUCCGGCGCGGGAGCAGGCGAGGCCGCCAGAGGGCAGUGGGUCCUCCGCCUAGGGAAAACAGGUUGAAUGACCGACAGGAAGGACAGUACAUUCCUCAUGUCGGAUGGUGCAGCAUCCAGAAUUCCAAGUUCUUUCUGUUCUGCCCAAAGAACUGGCCAGGACAACAGAUGAACAGGUGCAGUUGUGGUAUCAGUGGCCAAAUAAAAGCCACAAGAUUCAUCUCCUAAAAAAUGUUAGCAUCUACUUGAAAAGUUGAGUGAUUUUAAGGAAUGUAUCCCAAUAGAGAAGGUUGUUAACAUUUUGUUCUUCUAUUCCUAAGAAGCUAAAACUGACUAUGGGCACAGGAAAUACCCAAGGGGAUUUACUGUGCUCUCUCAGCCCUCUCCAGUCUACACUUGUCUUUUGGGAGUGAGCCAGCAUGGAGGAGGAAUAGGCUAAGCUUGGUCAUCCUGGUCUAGCCAUCCUUUAGUCAACUUGAUUCCAGUUGAGACAAGAGCAGCUCAGCAGAGCACAUGCCAACUUGAUGGCCUAAAGAAUUAAAACCACAGACUGAAAAGAAUUGUAUUCGGCUCACAUUUCUGGAGGCUAGAUCGCCCAAGAUGAGGGGGCUGCAUCUGGGGAGGUCCCUGCUGUUGCACUGUGACAUGGGGAACAGCAUCACAUGGUGAGAGGAAGAAAGCAAGAGAGAGCUGAACCUGCCUGUAUUAUCAGGACCACACCCACCAAAACCAUCUCAAUUUUUCAUGACAGCGAGAGUCCUCAUGACCUAAUCCCUGUUGGAGAUUCACUGUUACUUUGAGCAUUGUUUCCAGCACAUGAACCUGCAGGACCCACUCAAACCAUAUCCCUCUCUCUCUUAUCUGGGACUCUGGGUGAGAAUGUUAUGACAAAUACUGACUAAUACACUAUGUACAUUUUGAGAAUUUCAAAUGCAUUCAUUACUCCUUCAAUUUUAACAUGUUCUUAUAUCUUUGGGUAUUAUUAGAUUUAGAUUGAUGAGAAAGGAAGUCAUUUAUAUGUGAUAAGUCUCAGCUCUUAUAUCCUUCCUCUAAACUGGUCUCUCUUUUGGAUUCCAUUCUCCCUGUUAGACUGAACUUCAUGCCCUCUGAUCCUUGAUGUUUCCUAGGUGCACCACUUGUAAUUGAGUUCCUUAGCCUAUUACUAGUUUUCAAAGGAUAACACCAUAGAAUACUCUCAUCUCAUACAUUAUUGACUAUGGACAUUCUUAAUAUGGAUUGAAACUCAGCCUUUAUGAACCACGCCACCCUUUUUAAAUAUGUGCUUAUCCUCUUUGAAUCUCUGUGUACAGAAAUUCCAAACUUAACAGAUCCUACUGAUUAAUUGCCCUUCAUAUCAAGA
ensembl:lncRNA